GAGAAAGCUAAGUGUUGAUGACAGUGUGGGCCUGACCGUGCCUGAGUAAGCCCCAUGGGAACACAGCCGUGGUGGGAAGCAGCUUCCCAGCAGCCCUCCCCGCCAUCGGGAGAAUCCCCUGAGGCCAUGAGAGGGUCUCAGGGAGGUGGACGGCCCAUCAAGUGAGAACCGAGGGCACUGUGCACUCCUGAAUCCUAGGACUCCUCUUAGCUGUGUCUUGUCUCUACUUGGGGUACAAUUAAUAGCAGAGCCAGUCAUGUCCUACCAGCAUUCCUUUUAUACAGGCUGGAUAUAUGUGUCAUUGACUAACAACAUCAACAAUGAAAUGAAUCUGAGAAAACAGGAAAUUGAGAGCAAGAGAAAAAAAAGUUAAUUAUACUGAUUUUGUAUAAGACCCCUUUGAACACAUUUUUAAAAAAUCAAAUAGAAGGUGCCCAGGUCCACUGUGCCUUGUGAAUAUUUGUCUUGUAUAUCCUAGAGAUCUACGCAUUCAUGUGGGAAUUGAAAAGGACCCACAUUUUACUAGAAGCAUCGUUCAUUUUUGCCUCAAAACAAUGCCCACAUGUCAGAAGAACUUUCACAAUUCACAGGAACAGUGACCUAAUUAACCAACCAUAAAAUUGCCAAAUCCCUACUUCUCAUUGUUUAAUAUGCUUAGAAAACCCAUUCAAAUUGUGAAUUAUCAAGUGAGCUUACACUGAUAAAUAGAUCCAAUAUUUAGGAAUUUUUAAAUCUUCCAUUCCUUUUUUUUUUUUGUCUUUUUAAAAAUAGAACAUUAGAAUAUGUCCUCCAGGUUUUAGAGAUGGGGGAGACAUGCUUCCCUUUAUUUCUCAGUAACUCAGCCAAAAAAAAUCUGGAGAGAAUGCAAAGACAGCUACUGGAAACUUUGAAAAGUAGAUGUGAGCCCAUCAGGGAAGAGCUAGAGAAUCUGAAAUCUACUCGAAAAAGUGAGUUUGAUACUUUGUGUUCCUAUCCUAACUCCACACAGCCUGAAACUUGGAAGUGAGCAUGAUGGAGUGGAUACAGUGAGAUGCAGAAGAAAUCCUCCAGUUUGGGCUGGAAGGGAAAAAAGAGACCCCUAAAACUCAGAGACAGUGGAAGAAAUUCCUGGUGUUUUUUUCUUCUCUUUUUCUCUGUUCUUCCACAUAGCAAUUUAGUAUUGACUACAGCAUCUCUGUUACAAUGAUAGCACCGAAAUGUUGUAACCAUAUGGCCUGCAAAGCCAAAAAUACUUAUCUGACCAUCUACAGGAAAAGUUUGCUGAUCUGGAUGAAAUAUUCUGAUACUAAAUAUUCCAUUUUGAGGCUGAUAUUCCUAAUCUAUUCAUAAGGAUGGCAUAUCUACCCAGUGGGCCUGCUGGGACUCCAGUUACCCGAUGCACAUACAUUGCUUGGUGGUCAGUAAAUAUUAUUUUGCUUUCUUUAUUCCUUUGUGGAAAAAUUUCAGGUAGAGAAGAAACCUGAAAUAAUUUGAAGAACUUUAAAAUUUUUUUCACCCACUAAUUUAUAUUCUCAUUAGCAAAAAGAACCGAAUAUUGGUAGCUCUAUACUUUAUAAUAAAGAUGUGGAACUUCUUGAUUACUCUUUCCUUCUUCUACGUUGACUCAUUCUAUCACUAUUAAUUCACUCAGGAAAUGCUGAUUGAGCAGCUCCUUUGUAUAGAUGUUAAUAGCACGGUUCUCGCCAUAGGUCACAGAGGUUGGUUUGCUGAGCAACUCUGAGAACCCGUUUUUAAGUUCCCUGACUCUCCUAUUCACUGGAAUGGAAUGCCUUGCUGUCUGGGCCCUCCUUGCUUCACCUUCCAAUGAACUGAAAUCAUCACACUGAUCCUAUUGUAGCGGAGAGUGGUGUGUUAAAACCAUAACCAUAACCCCGUCUGGAGACCAGCCUCAGCUCUGUCGCUUUCUUAUCUCUUCAGAUGCAGCAGAUAGUUACCUCUAACUUUUAGUUUGCCUCAGACAUUAAGAAUAAAAUCAUAUUCAGCAUAAUUUAGGUGUCAUUCUCCACAUUCCACUGGUGCUAACAAACAUUUUUGUAUUGUUCCCAUGUGUCAACAAUAGCAAUCUGUGGCUCAUUAUAAGUGACAGCAAAUGUCAACAAGCCUGCCUCCUGGAGAUUUGUUUGUAAAGAUUCCUUAUCAGUUGUUGUUAUUUAUACCCCUGGCUUCUAUCGUCAUUGAUUAUUCUAUAUAUUUUCCUCCUUCAAGUGAAUGUACAAAGAGACCAAGAAAACCUCAGUCAAACUUGGAAAUUUCCUUUGUAAUAUUCUUUUUAAAGUUAGUUAUGUGGCAGUUUCGUGUGCAUUUUUGGUGAUGAUGCUCCACGGAACAUCUGCAGAUGUGCUGUCAAUUUGGACAGCUCUGACUACCGAGUGAAUGGGAAGUACUAACGAGAACUGUCUGCUUGGGAACUCCAUGAAGUUCGUGGCUUUUGUGAUUGAAAUAGCAUCAAUAAAAGGUUGACACUGUGGAACAACACAAGCCUGCAUGGACCUGGUUAUCUCUGACCUCGCACCACUCAUGAGACCAUACCUGAGCCCUACUCCACUUUGGCAGAACUGUUGCAUGGCCUCUCUUCAUAUAAUACCUCUCCGUACACCGUACACCGCAGCUCAAAGAAAGGAUAUAUGCUCCCUGUGAAGACUAAUGGAACUGUCCCUCCUGAUCCUCCUACAGACUUCCUCUGGCCUAAUGGGUGCACCAUUGCAUUAUAUCUGCCAUCUAUACACACAUAUACCUUUCAACCCUGCACUCUCUGAGAUGACUGGACUCAUGCCUAAAUAACUGAUGCUGUCCCUAGUGUAAGGUAAGCACUCAAUAGUUUCUCAGGAAAUGAAUAUGAUAAAUAUUUUGGCUGUUUAGAGGCUUUCCUUCACUUCAUUUUCUGUGUCCUCUUAUUUAAAAAGAAGUGCUCACUA
rnacentral:lncRNA from 1 species